GUUUACAUGCUACAUCCACCUAGUGGGAUCAGAACUUAACAAACAUUGCAUUAAUUUGCCAAAAUAUUAAUAAGCCCGGAGGAUCUCUAAAUAAGUUGUUUUGGUUUUGUGGCUUAAAGCAGCUUAUAGCAAACAUGGUUAUAAAUUUAUGUCCUGGUUUACCCGUCGUUUUUAUUGAUUUUGCAAUCGGGUGUGGCGUUGACCGUAACUUCAAUGUAUAAUUUGCAAUAAAACUUUACAGACGGAAAACAUUUCAUUUGGCCACAUUAAGUAAUAUUAAAAGCUGAUCAAAAGUUAAGCAGCAAAACAAAGUGCCAGACAACACAGACAAAACAAAAAGCCGGGAAAGGGUCUCCUCUAAGUUGCCUUUCGACUCAAAGCAGACUCCAGACCGAAGCGCGACCACAAAACUCGACCAGGAAAAAAGAGAAGCUCCACGGGAAAACGGCAACCGAUGACGGCGAUGGGUAUGGUAGCUGACAUGGCUGUCAACACUGUAGCCACUGCCAGGACCUCGACCAUCACCCGGUACUCGUCCUGCCCUAUCCGUCCGCCCACUUUGCAGUCAUUUCAACUUUGGAAUUUCAAUAAGAGGCUCGGUAAGUGAAAAUGCCGCAGGUGGCUGGCACAGAAGGUCCCAAGUUGCCGGCUGGCAUAAAGAAAGGCAAAUAAACCAAGAAAGUAAAUACAUAAA